UGGGGAAUAUUGGACAAUGGGCGAAAGCCUGAUCCAGCCAUGCCGCGUGAGUGAUGAAGGCCCUAGGGUUGUAAAGCUCUUUUGUGCGGGAAGAUAAUGACGGUACCGCAAGAAUAAGCCCCGGCUAACUUCGUGCCAGCAGCCGCGGUAAUACGAAGGGGGCUAGCGUUGCUCGGAAUCACUGGGCGUAAAGGGUGCGUAGGCGGGUUUUUAAGUCAGAGGUGAAAUCCUGGAGCUCAACUCCAGAACUGCCUUUGAUACUGAAAGUCUUGAGUAUGACAGAGGUGAGUGGAACUGCGAGUGUAGAGGUGAAAUUCGUAGAUAUUCGCAAGAACACCAGUGGCGAAGGCGGCUCACUGGGUCAUAACUGACGCUGAGGCACGAAAGCGUGGGGAGCAAACA
rnacentral:rRNA from 1 species